UUAACGCGAAGAACCUUACCAAAUCUUGACAUCCUUUGACAACUCUAGAGAUAGAGCUUUCCCCUUCGGGGGACAAAGUGACAGGUGGUGCAUGGUUGUCGUCAGCUCGUGUCGUGAGAUGUUGGGUUAAGUCCCGCAACGAGCGCAACCCUUAUCUUUAGUUGCCAUCAUUAAGUUGGGCACUCUAGAGAGACUGCCGGUGACAAACCGGAGGAAGGUGGGGAUGACGUCAAAUCAUCAUGCCCCUUAUGAUUUGGGCUACACACGUGCUACAAUGGAUGGUACAAAGGGCAGCAAAACCGCGAGGUCAAGCAAAUCCCAUAAAACCAUUCUCAGUUCGGAUUGUAGUCUGCAACUCGACUACAUGAAGCUGGAAUCGCUAGUAAUCGUAGAUCAGCAUGCUACGGUGAAUACGUUCCCGGGUCUUGUACACACCGA
rnacentral:rRNA from 1 species